ACACAUUCCCAUGGAGGAAAGUUGUACAGGAUAAGAAACACUGGCCACAUGCUAUACGAGGAGCUCAUUUUACCAAAUGGAUUGAAACCAUCAGUAGCGAGGCCAAGCCUGAUGUUCCUUGCAUCUUCUGCAAACCAUCCAUACUUCCUGUCAAAGUCUUUCUGUAACGACCCGGGUUAAAUCAGCCGAGUAAUCCUAAUCCGAGUCCCUAAUCCCUCUGUCUCCGCCCCCUUGAGCUUAAGCGUUUCAAAACCGGUUCUUAGCCCCG
rnacentral:lncRNA from 1 species